ensembl:miRNA
ACAGGCACAGCUGGUUUGAGCAUUUUGACUGAAUUGCCAAACCAGGUGUGCCUGUAG